CAGUCGCCGCGGGAAUACAGAGGGUGCGAGCGUUAAUCGGAUUUACUGGGCGUAAAGCGUGCGUAGGCGGCUAAUUGAGUCGGAUGUGAAAUCCCCGAGCUUAACUUGGGAAUUGCAUUCGAUACUGGUUAGCUAGAGUGUGGGAGAGGAUGGUAGAAUUCCAGGUGUAGCGGUGAAAUGCGUAGAGAUCUGGAGGAAUACCGAUGGCGAAUGCAGCCAUCUGGCCUAACACUGACGCUGAGGUACGAAAGCAUGGGGAGCAAACAGGAUUAGAUACCCCGGUAGUCCCUGUCUCUUAUAA
rnacentral:rRNA from 1 species